CCUACGGGAGGCAGCAGUGGGGGAUAUUGCACAAUGGGGGAAACCCUGAUGCAGCGACGCCGCGUGUGGGAAGACGGUCCUCUGGAUUGUAAACCACUGUCCCCAGGGACGAAGAUGACGGUACCCGGGGAGGAAGCUCCGGCGAACUACGUGCCAGCAGCCGCGGUAAUACGUAGGGGGCGAGCGUUGUCCGGAAUUACUGGGUGUAAAGGGAGCGUAGGCGGGACUGCAAGUUGGGUGUCAAAUCUACCGGCUCAACCGGUAGCCGCACUCAAAACUGCAGUUCUUGAGUGAAGUAGAGGCAGGCGGAAUUCCUAGUGUAGCGGUGAAAUGCGUAGAUAUUAGGAGGAACACCAGUGGCGAAGGCGGUCUGCUGGGCUUUUACUGACGCUGAGGCUCGAAAGUGUGGGGAGCAAACAGGAUUAGAUACCCUUGUAGUC
rnacentral:rRNA from 1 species